rnacentral:lncRNA from 1 species
UUCAGACAUCUGAUCUUGCACUGCAGGCAACAGGUGAUCUGUUGGAAUCAAAUCAAAUGAAGGGGAUAUUUUAUUGGCAAUUCUUCACAAACGAAUACAGGCAACACACGAACGGUAAGCGACACCACAAAUUCAGGAAGUGGCCACACAGAAGGAAAGAAAUGCUGCAAGGAGAAAGGAAACACUUGUGCAUGACUCUGUGUCUCCAGAUGUGCACCAGCCUAAGCAUCGAUGCCAUCAUCGCCGACGUUCUCCUUGGAGAGCUCCUCGAGCGACUUGCCCUUGGACUCCGGCNNNNNN